AAUUGGAAAUCUGAAGGCGACUGUUCUGUUAAUUAGGGUUUACUGUUCGACAUUUUGGAUGAAUAUCAAAGUUUAGUAUGAUCUCACUGCUAAAUUGAUGAUUUCUUUUUAUGUUAUUUUCCCCUUUAAUCCCCUAAAUAUUGAGCAACGGUAAUAAAAUAAUGCUGUCGUUUUGGGACUUUGUAUCAAUUAGGAUCAUGAGGAUUGAAAAACAGAUUUGAGAAGCAGUAAUUUGCAGGGAAAAAUAGGAUGGAACAUAGCUGAGAGACUCUUUCCGAAUCCCUAUGGAUAAGUAAGCCUUGGGAUUUAAUAUGCUGCCUUUAAAGUUUAGUGUUAGCAUUCUUGAGAAACUCUGUUCUUGUUUGCCACAUAGCCACCGGCCAGAUUGGUCUCAUGUGAUCAUUUGUGUGAGUAUCUUGAGAUAGCAUAGGGAAUUUAGUGUGAGUUAUUGAAUCCCUAUAGAUAAGUAAACCUUGGGAUGUUUGCUCAUGCUCGAUUUGCUGCCUUUAGAGUUGAGUUGCAUUCUUGAGAAGCUCUGUUGUUGCUUGCCACAGCCACCGGCCAGAUUAAUCCCGUGUGAUCAAUUUGUGUCCAGUAUCUUGAGUUAGCAUAGGGAAUUCAAUGAGAGCUUUUUGGCCUAAUUGUGAUUAAUUAUUCGGUGAAUCAUAAUCUUCUUAGGGCAUAACGUUGGAAUUCUAUUGAGAGAAAGUUGAUAACACAAUCAUGCUCGUUGUUAGUUGUUACCCUACUGCAUAAGCUGAAUUUCUAAAAUUUUAGCAAAAAUGAGUUUUUGUAUAUUAUUUGGUAAGAAAAGCAUUUCACAAAGAAAUCAUCGGUGAUCAUCGUAAGUGUGGCUGAUAUGUGGAUCUUGUUAGAGUAUUAAAAGCAUACAAGCUUGGUUUCCCCAUGAAAUAAGAUUUUUGACUAGUUGUUAUAAUUGACUCGAAAGAAACACUAGUAGUGAAAAUGCUUGAAGUUGAGUUGGUAUUCAUAAGAAGCAACAUAAAUACUUAAAAGUUAAAACUGUUAAGUGGUGAUCAUACAGCUGUAGAAGAAUUCAUGUAGCUCGUAUUUACCAUGUGAUUUACAUCGGUUGGGGAGUAGAGUUGUUGCAGGGGGGUUUGUUGAAGUUGCCGGUACAUCAUUGCAACUCAAACAACUUCAAGGUUGUAAAAUACUGGUUAGAUUCAACUCAGCUUCAGUUGAGAGUACCUAGAAUAUAUACAUGUCUCACCUCUCUCUCUCAUUCAGCUGCAGAUGAUUUCGAUUCUCAGUACUUCACCAACUCCUGUUUUAAUUGCUGAAAUAUUUCACUCUCCCGGUAAAAAGGUACUCGGCGGUUAUCAAAAAAUUAAGAAAAUAAAAAUCCCUAAUUCUUAAAACCCUUCGUCCCAUCAUCUUCAUCUGUAUUUUGUAGCCUUUUUUUCCCCUUUUCUUUUUUCUCAUAAUCACAUCAUCUAAUCAAAUCUUAAAGAAGAAACAAUACAAAAGGCAAGAAUCCAUCCAUCUUUCUUUGUUAAAAUCGAUUAUGUACGAGAUUGCUGGCCAAUCGGAGGAGGACGACCCCAUGCCCUAUCCGAGUUGGAGCUGGAUCUCGACUCGGAUUCUCAGAACCUGCGUCGCCUAUUCGAGCGGCGUGACGUCUGCUAUUCUCCUCUCUGAGCUUUCUCUGGUAUAGGUGUUUUACUAGUUUUGGUGAAAAUUGCCUUGAAUUUUGAUGAUGAUUGUUUGAUAAUUAGGAAUGUUUAUUUGAUUAGUUUCCAGUAUAGGAACGUAGGUUUUACUUGUGAGAAAGUGAAGUGAAUUGGAAUGUAUUGUUGUAUAGAUAACGAGUUAAUUGAUGUUUGAAUGUUGGAAUAAGAAAAAGUGAGGUAAUGCUUUGAUGGGCUUUUGCCCUUCUUAUUCCUUUGAUUGAAAAUCUGAUAUUUUUAAUUCAUUGGAGGAACUAUAACUAUUACGUUGUUUGAAUUGCAAAGCUUACAUGUGUGAGUGUUUAGGGGAUUUUGGCUAUAUGUAUUUGUGGUGAUUUCAAGAUUUGGAAUUCACAUUUCAGAGCUAUACUUGUCCUUGUAGGUAGUUCUUUUUUAGAUUCGUUGUGCUGGUUGCUUCUUCUAUCUCGUUUCAGACAAGAACCUUUGUUUGAGCGAUGUAAUAUCAAUGUACUGAUUGAGCGAUGUAAAGAUGAGAAUAUCUUCACCAUUUUCUAUGUGUUUCUCAAUAUUGGAUUGAACUCAUACAUCAUAUUCAUAGGAAACAUGACCAACUUGAUUGUUCAAGGGGUGUCAAAUGAUCUGCUCUUUCAGCCGGGGAUUGGAAAUGCAAACUUUUACCUUGCGACUGCAAUCGGAUAAGCUUGUUUCCAGGUUAUUCCUUUUCUAUUUUGUUCCUUGGUAAUGAACAUCAAUUUUUUAACAUGGGAGAAAUCUUCAUGUGUUUUUUUUUAUCUUGAUCCAUGCAAAAAUGCAGUGAUUACCGCAGCAAUGUCAAGAGUUUUAUAUUUAUUAAACACAAGCAUAUAGGAAUCAUAUGACUGGUGGGUUAAGUUUCUUCAAUUAGCCAAUUAUUGCACAUUGGUGCCACACAUUUUUUUCACUGUUGGUGAUGUAUUAGAGGCUUACUGAAUAUACAGGAAAUACUACAUUGGUAUUAAAUCUACUUAUGAUUUUGCAAUAUCGAAUUUCCACAAACUCCAUCUCCAUAGAAUCAUGAAAAAUGAAUCAGUGGGUUUUCUACAUUCGUAUCUCUCUCCUAUAGUUAUUUGUUUCUGCAUUUUGCAGAUCAGGCUGUUGAAUUUAGUGAGUGGGCUUUUGGCAACAAGAGAUCUUGGCGAUACAGAGCACAUGCUUGCUCAAGGUAGAGUGGAUAUGCCUCUCACCUUAUGCUUCACAGCAACAAGGCAGGAUGACCUAUUGCUUCAGCGUAUGCUCAAACGAGGCUGUUUUGUUGUUCUUUUAGAUAGGUUAUUUCAAUUUUAGAAAUUUUUUCAUACUUGUGCACUUUUAGUACGAGAUGCACAACUCUCUAUAUUGUUUGGUAUGUGUGUUCAGGGUGAGACAAUUAGAUACUUUGGAUUUCUUUAUAUUCAAUUUUGAUAAUUUUUGAA